UGCAAGACGCACGAGAACGCUUCAGCUUGCUGAAGUUAGUAAAGUGGCGCACGGGUGAGUAACGCGUGGGUAAUCUACCCUUGAAUUGGGGAUAACCCGCCGAAAGGCGGGCUAAUACCGAAUGACAUCGUAAAUAUUUAGGUGCUUAUGAUCAAAGAUGGCCUCUACAUGUAAGCUUCCGAUUGAGGAUGAGCCCGCGUACCAUUAGCUUGUUGGUGGGGUAACGGCCUACCAAGGCUGCGAUGGUUAGCUGGUCUGAGAGGAUGAUCAGCCACACUGGAACUGACACACGGUCCAGACUCCUACGGGAGGCAGCAGUGAGGAAUUUUGCGCAAUGGGGGAAACCCUGACGCAGCAACGCCGCGUGAGUGAUGAAGGCUUUCGGGUCGUAAAGCUCUGUCGAGUGGGAAGAAAAACCAGACGCGAAUAAUAUCUGGGACUGACGGUACCACUGAAGGAAGCACCGGCUAACUCCGUGCCAGCAGCCGCGGUAAUACGGGGGGUGCAAGCGUUAUUCGGAAUCAUUGGGCGUAAAGAGCGCGUAGGCGGCCCUAUAAGUCAGAUGUGAAAGCCCGGGGCUUAACCCCGGAAGUGCAUUUGAAACUAUUGGGCUUGAGUAUGGGAGAGGGAAGUGGAAUUCCUGGUGUAGAGGUGAAAUUCGUAGAUAUCAGGAGGAACACCGGUGGCGAAGGCGACUUCCUGGACCAAUACUGACGCUGAGGCGCGAAGGCGUGGGGAGCAAACAGGAUUAGAUACCCUGGUAGUCCACGCCGUAAACGAUGAACACUAGGUGUAGCGGGUAUUGACCCCUGCUGUGCCGUAGUUAACGCAUUAAGUGCUCGCUGGGACUACGUCGCAAGACUAAACUCAAUGUAUUGACGGGGCCGCACAGGCGGUGGAUGCAAGACGCUGCAAGACGCUGCAAGACGCUGCAAGACGCUG
rnacentral:rRNA from 1 species